GCUUUUGAGAUUCUGCUAGUUCUGUACUGAGUAGGAUUUGCUGGUGGUUCCCACUGAUGGUUCUCUCUGGCAGAAGGAAACAAUACAUCACAGGGACCAUUGCUCAAGACAUAGUCUGCUUGGCUAUCUCACCCCACAGAAGGUGAGAAAGAGCAAAAAGCAACCCUUCAAAAACUGCCACUGCUCCAGAUAUUGUCAGGUUUAUGCACCAAGAGUGAGACUUGGUUCUGCUUGCAGGAGCUCCAGGCAGCAUUUAGAGUCACCUGUAUGUAGAUGCAUGGCUCGACAUGGCACACAUCCUGAAUGCAUAGCCAUCCAAGUGGGGAUGUGUUGAAGUCUCAGCUGCCCAUGCUGAGGAUUUCAUUGUCAGAGAAGCAACCAGAUGACUUCUCCUUCUUGCACAAAUUCCCAGGGACUGCAGGACCACCUUACCCACAUUUUACUCAUGAGGCUUUCCUGGCUGAAAGCAGCAUCUGGAAACAGCUAAUAGAGACUGAACUAACAACCCUUGCAGACACGGGAUGGUCUUCUCUAUCUUGGCACACAAAGGCAGCAGACGAGGGUGCCCUGGCAGCUGCUGUUUGAAAACACUGCUUAAGUGACUGUGAAGAGCCAGAUGGACUUCAGCCCUGAAGACUCAAGUGCCCUAUUUAGCCACGAAGCAAGGAUGCAGCAAGAGACAGCAGCCUUUGCGUGUGUGUUGUCUCACUGUUCUCCAGCCCUGGUUUGGAGGACUCCUUCAAGGCUGGAUCCCCAGACCCAUUCAAACUUGCCAACAAACUGCCAGAAUCAACCUGGGAAACUGAGCCACCAAAAGCCAAUACAUUUCACCAGCCUUCAGAUGGUAACAAUCCAUUCCAACCCAUAAGCCUGCAAGCAGGGAGGGAAAAGGCUCCAGAUUUCAUUCUUAAUCCUUCAAGUUAUUCAUUCUACCCCCAUUCCACAGCAUUAGGAAGGGCAAUGUUCCCUUAUAUGGUCAAGAAAAAGUGGAGAGUAUCUGCAAUACAUUCUCACAUCCGUGCUCAGCUGAGCCUGGCCAGCAUGUCCCUGUGAAUGCAGAGGUUGUAACUGCCAAGAGCUGUGGAGUAAAUGCCUCCACCCUGCUGUGAAAGGCAGGCAAGGGGGAUAAACAGAUAUGGGUGGAAACAUUGCAAAAUGGAUUGCAUUAAGCAAUGCUACUCAUGGGUUUAUGGGAUCUGAUUCGGGAUGUUUUCCUGUGCAAGCUUGGAGCACAGUGGGAAAUGGCAACUUGAAUAUGUGAAAACAACAGCAAGAAAAAUUUGCAAGGCCAAGACUGGAGAAGUAUCUGAAGUGGGGCAUGUAGACCCCCAAAGGACUCCAAAAAACACCAAAAGGACCUGAAAGAUCCUGCUCACUAAGAUAAUUGGGUGUAGGUUCCCCUGUGAAAUUCUCUGGCACCUUGAUGCACGGUUUUGGAGUCAAGGUUGUAAAUGAUAGAGUUUUAUGAGAAAGAAGAAGACUUCAGACAAGUUCUUUGGGGAAAAGGGGAUGAAAGCACUGGAAUGCUUUCAUUCCAAUAUUCUCCUUCCAAUAGAGAACAUGAGGGCAAAGUAUUCUGCUUCUA
ensembl:lncRNA